UUCACGUCCUCUACUUCCUGAAUGCAGGCGCCAACUGGACCAGCUGCAUCCCUACUGCCACAGCUCCAGCCAUGCUCCCUGCUGUGACUUCUCACAUGAUGGAUACAGAAAGGCAAAACCGAACCCUUCCUUACUGGAGUGCUUCUGCCAGAGCAACUUUUGGGAACAUCACAAACAAACAAACAAACAAACAAACAAAAACAAAAGCCUGAAUAUGCUGAAAGUGCUACUGUGUCCAAAACUGGCUUCUGACACCCCCUGAGCAGUGCUGGGUGGCCCCAAGUCCUGGCCUCUGGGCUCUGAGAACAGAGCAACUGAGGAUUCCAGACCGUUACUUCUACCACAAGCUGAGAAUGGAGAGGAAAGGACAAGAGCAGGAUACCACUCUGCAAGAACACUCAGAAAUUACUAGUGAAUAUGCCAAUGGAUUAAGAAUAAACUAACAAGUAAAUACAAUAGUAGCUACUACCAACUUUUGAAAAAGCUGAUCAACAAAACAAGGGGGAAAACAUGUUUUCAAAGGCCACAUGAAAGAAGCAGUUGUUAAUAUACAUUAAUGCAGGAAGCUGAAUAAAGGCAACAAUGUCCAGCAAGAGAAAUGUUUUAUUCUGAGAAGUACCAAAUAUUUUAAUCUCCUCAUUUAUCCUGUAAGUACUGUUUUCAACAUAACAGCUCUUCAGUACAAGACAAAGUCCUGAUGUGGCUGCCUAAUUUUCCCAAUAGGUUUUGUCUUUUUCUCGCUGCAAAGGCUUUCUUUCCUUCCUGACUGCACUACCAACUGCACUUGAAUACCCUCCACUCAAAGCAGGCAGUGAAGGAUCCCUUUUUGUUAGCAGAAAACCAACAAAAGACACUGGCAACUUUCUAUGCUCCACAGCAACAUUCCUUGCCCCACAUUGCACUCCAAGAAGGACAGGUAGGAAAAGUGUGGUCGGGAAAUAAUUGAGAAAUAAUCUUUAUUAUUAUAUUGUCCUCAAUUAUCUGAAAAGACUCAGUCCAUGGCCCCCUUGGAUGCCAAAAUGUAAGGAUGAUCAAAUUUUUUAUAAAAUGAACUAGCAUUUGCAUAUAGCCUUCAUAUAUCCCCAGUAAAUGUUGAAUCAUCUCUAGAUUGCUUAUACCUAACACAAUAUAAAUGGUACUUGGAUAGCACUUGUAUUGUUUAGAAAACAGUGAUGAAAUUUCAAAGUCUGAACAUUUCAUAUAGGCACAAUUUUACAUUAUUAAGAUAUGUUCUAAGGAUUACAAAACCCAUGAUACAGAGGUGACUAUAUUAUAUAUUUCCUGUUUAAUUACUUCACAUGUCCAAAUACCUCAUAUAUACAAUGUUUCUGCUACAGUAAUUUAUGUGCAUUUUUGAAAAUUCUCAUAUCUGAUGAAAUUUGACACUCAAAUAACAAAGCUUUUAGGGAAAUUUGUCUGGCUUAUUCAACCUCAAACCUAUGGAACCUCAAAGCAUAAUUAAAAAUAGUAGCCAGUAACUGGAAGCGACUAGCCACCUACCUUAAAAGGGCAGCUGGCUCUAUAUAGUUAGUAACUAACAUCAGACAAUAGUGAAAAAUGCUAUAAAUCAGAGAAAAAGUAACAGUGAUUUAAUUACAGUGAGCCCAACUGGUAUACAAGAUGGAGUACAACCCAUUUGAGCCAAGGCCAUGACUGUAUCUAUC